rnacentral:rRNA from 1 species
GACAGAGGAGCCAAGCGUUGUCCGGAUUGACUGGGCAUAAAGCGCACGCAGGCGGUUGCGCGCGUGGGGUGUGAAAUCUGGCCGCUUAACGGCCAGGCGCCAUCCCAUACGGCGCGACUGGAGUGAUGCAGAGGUCGAUGGAAUUGCCGGUGUAGUGGUGAAAUGCGUAGAGAUCGGCAGGAACACCCAGGGGGAAACCAGUCGACUGGGCAUCUACUGACGCUGAGGUGCGAGAGCGUGGGGAGCGAACCGG